AACGAACGCUGGCGGCAUGCCUAACACAUGCAAGUCGAACGAGAUCCUUCGGGGUCUAGUGGCGGACGGGUGAGUAACGCGUGGGGACCUGCCCAGGGGUACGGAAUAACUACGGGAAACUGUAGCUAAUACCGUAUGAUGCCGAAAGGCCAAAGAUUUAUCGCCCUUGGAUGGACCCGCGUUGGAUUAGCUAGUUGGUGAGGUAAUGGCUCACCAAGGCGACGAUCCAUAGCUGGUUUGAGAAGAUGAUCAGCCACACUGGGACUGAGACACGGCCCAGACUCCUACGGGAGGCAGCAGUGGGGAAUAUUGGACAAUGGGGGGCAACCCUGAUCCAGCAAUGCCGCGUGAGUGAAGAAGGCCUUAGGGUUGUAAAGCUCUUUCAGAUGGGAAGAUAAAAGAUCCAUGCGUGGAGAAUUGAAGGUACCCGGUGAAUAAGCCACGGCUAACUACGUGCCAGCAGCCGCGGUAAU
rnacentral:rRNA from 1 species